UCUCACCUCUAAUUCAAAAAUAAAAUAUUGAAGAUUGAACACAAUAGGUAUGUGAAAAUCCUAUAUAAUUCCUUGUUAGAGCCCUUUGUCUCUUUUAUAUUCAGCGAGGGUUAGCUCCUCUUCGAUCUUCACUUCAAUUUCUUCCCAGAGAGAGAGAAAGAAAGAGUUUGAGUUUGAAUCAUCUUCUUCUGCGACUCGAGGAGGCUUCCAAAGGGAUCGCAUUGAUCCCUACUCUCUAUCUAAAAGCAUAUCAAGAUUUUGAUUUAGAGUGUGGAGGAUCAUGCGAUCCUUUUGGAAUCCUCCUCCGGUCGCUUCCUACUCAGUUCCAUGGCGAGAUGACAAGUAAGGAUUCUCCAUUACCUUUCAGCCGCCAUUUCCAUCUCACAACAACUGAACUAGCAACUCAUCAGAGCUAAAGGGAGGAAACACUAACAGUUUGGAUCAAGGUAAAUUAAAUUGUAAGGGAAUUGAAUGCAAAUUCAAAAUCAGGUGCAAAAGAAAAAAGGGUAAUCUCACAUCAACUCAAUCUUCCUCCGACGCCUCCUCCUCAAAAAUGAUUUAUUACUAGUUAUGGUCCUUUGUGGAUUAAUGGGUUUAAAACCCAUAUUCUCUGGUUCACUGUGAGAAUUAACCAAGAAAGAAGAUCAAUUGCUGGAAUAUAUUGUAACAGAUUGGCCAAAGUUCAUUCAGAUUUUUGUUUUUGUUUU